rnacentral:rRNA from 1 species
GAGUGCGCGCCUGUAGCAAUACAGGUGGCGCACGGCGCACGGGUGCGUAACACGUGGGCAAUCUGCCCUCUGAUGGGGAAUAACCCGCCGAAAGGCGGGCUAAUACCGCAUAACAUUCCUUGGACUCAUGUUCGAGGACUGAAAGGCGUAAGUCGUCGGAGGAGGAGCCCGCGCCCGAUUAGCUAGUUGGUAGGGUAACGGCCUACCAAGGCUUUGAUCGGUAGCUGGUCUGAGAGGAUGGCCAGCCACACUGGAACUGAGACACGGUCCAGACUCCUACGGGAGGCAGCAGUGGGGAAUCUUGCACAAUGGGCGAAAGCCUGAUGCAGCGACGCCGCGUGGGGGAUGAAGCUUCUCGGAGUGUAAACCCCUUUCGAUCCGGACGAAUACCUCGCAAGAGGGGUGACGGUACGGAUAUAAGAAGCCCCGGCUAACUACGUG